UGAGGAACAUGACCUUCGGCGGGGGAUAGCCGGCCCAACGGCCGGGUAAUACCGCGUACGACCACAUGGGGACAUCCCUGAGUGGUGAAAGCAGCAAUGCGCCGAUGGAGUGCCUCGCGGCCUAUCAGCUAGUUGGUGAGGUAACGGCUCACCAAGGCAACGACGGGUAGCUGGUCUGAGAGGAUGGCCAGCCACAUUGGGACUGAGACACGGCCCAGACCUCUACCGGGAGG
rnacentral:rRNA from 1 species